rnacentral:rRNA from 1 species
UACGAAGGGUGCAAGCGUUACUCGGAAUUACUGGGCGUAAAGCGUGCGUAGGUGGUUUGUUAAGUCUGUUGUGAAAGCCCCGGGCUCAACCUGGGAAUGGCAAUGGAUACUGGCAAGCUAGAGUGCGGUAGAGGGUAGUGGAAUUCCCGGUGUAGCGGUGAAAUGCGUAGAGAUCGGGAGGAACACCAAUAGCGAAGGCAGCUCGCUGGGACGGUACUGACGCUAAGGCGCGAAAGCGUGGGGAGCGAACAGG